AUGUCCCGUCCGACCUCCACGCCCAGCGGUGAGUACCAUCCAUCUACCACCUCAAACUGCUCAAUUGAUUCAAACCUGGGUUACUCUAAGACAUCUCCACUCUUCUAUUUCAGUACAAGCCCUCAUCGACUCCGGCUCAGCGGGAACUUCAUCAACCAGCAAACAUUAAAUCGUCUAAGUGUCAAGCGUCAUCGAAGCCCCGUCGAACUCAGAAUCACGACCAUACAAGGAAAGCCGCUGGGCCGAGGUCAUAUCCGCUAUUUCUCCCCCACAGUCAUCCUCCGCGUGGGUUCCCUGCAUGAGGAAGAAAUCACGUUCAUGGUGCUGGAGGAAUCCACCGCAGACAUCAUCCUGGGACGCCCCUGGCUUAACCAACAUCAACCACACAUCCAUUGGCCCACAGAGCCUGGUGAUGAUGACGUACCUCCUCCUCCCGCCAUCGAAGAAGACAACAGCAUCUUCCGGGUGAGAGCUAUCCUCGACUCUCGACGACGGGGUCCUCAACUGGAGUACCUUGUAGACUGGGAGAACUACGGCCCGGAGGAGCGUUGCUGGGUGAAUCGUAAUGACAUCCUGGACCCUAGCCUGCUCACCGACUUUCACCGAGACCAUCCAGACCGCCCCGCUCCCCGUGGCCGUGGUAGACCCCGUCGUCGUUCAAGAUCCCAGCCGUCAGGAGCCGCCCGUGGGGGAGGGGGUACUGUCACAGCCACACCAUCUACACUCCCUGAAUCAGACACUUACGCCACGCCCACUCGUUCCCAAUCACCAGCAUUCUGAACACCUGUGCAUCAUCACCAGUGCCACACAUAAAGCCCUCAGUCACCAUCACUCAGUGUCUGGUCUUGCACCGAUCUCCCUACUUACCUGAACGCCCUUCGUCAAACCUACCUGAACUGUUUAACCCUCUUCAUCCUCCUUUGCCUACCUGUUCCCAUCGUCUUCGUCGGAGUCACCAUCUGUAUCACCAUCACCGCAAAGGAAAGUUGUGUUACCACUGUUUGUCUACGUGUCAAGAUUCACCUGUGUCUGAAACCUCUGAUUAAACUUAAACACUUUUGCACUGAAUCCUCUGUGUCCUCGUCUGUGUCUGACACAUGGGUUCUCUUGGUAAUGUCUGGAUGUGACAGAUUAAAGAGAUGUGCACAGCUGUAUUUAUGUGCUGCAGGGGAUGCACAUGCUAUUGUUCCACCUCCUGUGAAUGUGGUCAUGCCAUGGAGAGUUAUUAGUACACCAGCAAUCAUUCAAAAUAGGAUAUUAAGUAAAAGCUUCUGAAUUCUGCCUGAAGCUGAAAAAUGCACCUUCCUUCUUCAAUUCCUAUUUUAAUCUUGUAUAUAUUUGCCCUGAAUCAAGACAAGAUGAUGAUAAUAAUAGAAAGUCCUAAUUGUUAUCACAUAAAUCACCAACAUGCACACAACUGUCUAUCAUUGUUUUGUACCGUAGAUGGAAUUAGAGGACCCAUUCAAACCUGUUAAUUAACAAGUAGUUAUUCUUAUGUGAAGUGUGGUUCUAGCAUAAGGGCAUUUAUGUAUGUUUACAGAGACACUGAAAUGCAUGCAUUACAUUGGUACAUUAUGUUGAUGUAUAAAACUUAAGUGAUGUUAAACUGUAACAAAAAUGUACCUCUUUAUGCACAUAUAAUCAUGCCCAUAAGUCAUCAUUGCAUUUAUUUGAACUUUAAAAUUUGAUGCCUUAAGUAAUUUUCUUAAAGAAAUUACAUAGUAUAUUUAUUGAUAUUUACAACACAACCUGAUAUUUAGAUUUUUAGGGUUGUGUUAGUCUGUUGU
ensembl:lncRNA